rnacentral:pre_miRNA from 16 species
UGUUUUGCUGUUGUCGGGUGGAUCACGAUGCAAUUUUGAUUAGUAUCAUAGGAGAAAAAUUGCACGGUAUCCAUCUGUAAACCGCAGG